rnacentral:rRNA from 1 species
CACACCGCCCGUCACACCAUGGGAGUUUGUUGCACCAGAAGCAGGUAGCUUAACCGCAAGGGGGGCGCUAGCCACGGUGUGGCCGAUGACUGGGGUG